rnacentral:rRNA from 1 species
CACGUAGGGGCCAAGCGUUGUCCGGAUUUAUUGGGCGUAAAGAGCUCGUAGGCGGUUCGACAAGUCGGGUGUGAAAACUCCGGGCUCAACCCGGAGACGCCACCCGAUACUGUCGUGACUGGAGUCCGGUAGGGGAGUGGGGAAUUCCUGGUGUAGCGGUGAAAUGCGCAGAUAUCAGGAGGAACACCAGUGGCGAAGGCGCCACUCUGGGCCGGUACUGACGCUGAGGAGCGAAAGCGUGGGUAGCAAACAGG